rnacentral:misc_RNA from 1 species
CCACCAGCGCACUCCAUCAUUGAAGAGCUGAGUCCGCGCUGCAUUGAGGAUGCCGCGCGCUUUCUGCUUUGCUGCGCAGGUGCUCCUGACUAGGCGGCUACGCGGCGGAAGCCCUUUGCGCGCAUCCGUGCGCUCACUGCUCAGCUCGUCCAGCACGACCGCUGCUGUCACGUCGUCUGGGACAGCAAUGGUUGGACUCGAAGGUGCUCGCCACUACGCCAUCCUCGCAGCUUCGAGCACUUUGUUGCGCGCUCCGGCCUCGGGAUCGGCGUCGCACUACCGACCCUUCUCGAGUGAAGAUGAGGCGGCGCUGGCUUCUGUGCUGUCGAGCAAGCCGCGCCAUGUCGCGCGCCACAUCCGACAGUCGAUGCUCUACUCGCGGCGCCGCAUCGCCCAGUUCCGGAACGCCGUGACGUACCUCAUGAUUUCACUUCAAUCGAAGCUGCAGCGCCAAGAGAUGCGGCCCGAGGACGCCACCGCGAUCAUGGAAAGCCUUAUGCGUGAGUGCGUCGACCUCCGUCAGGGCGACAUGGCCCACCUUCUCUUUCGCGCUGCUAUUCGGUUUCGCAAGUAUGGGCUCAAGAUCAGUUUCCCGUUUGUGCGGUACCUGUACGAGUCCUACAAGCGAGAGAGCGCCAAGGAGCUGAUGCGCAGCAUGGCCGAGGAGCUAAAGACGCAGGACGAGAUGAAAGUGCUGGCGGUGCUGGCGUAUCAGUUCAGUGGCCAACGAGACGAGAGCGUCGCCUUGUGGGAGACGGUGCCGAAAGAAAAGGUUACUACAAACGACUACUGUGCCGUGCUGGACGGUAUGGGGAUGACCGGCUGCUUCAACGACGUCGUCGACUUUGCCGAGCAAGUGAUCAAGGACGUCAUCGCAAAGCGGCGGCAUGGCAUCGACCUGCACGCCGUGGUGUCGCACGCGACAAUCGCGAGUCGCGGCAGCAGUGCCGCUCUGCACUCUGUCGUCCGCCUUGCGAAGGACCACCAGCUCACUCUCUCCGACAGCGCCGUCGGCGCACUUGCACGGUCGCGACUGCAGGAGAGGAGCGUGACGUCGAUGGCGGAUGUGUACAAGGUCGAGGCGGCACUGUGUGCCGAGCUCAACCGCGUGUCGCUGGGAAUGGCGGGUGACUCCGCUAUCAUCGCGAAGUCGAGCGAGCUCAUGGCGCGCAACCACGAAACGGGCGAUGACGUGAUACUGCAAAAGGUGGGGCACCUCCGCCGCAUGGUGGAGGACGCCAUCACGAAUGACGCGAUGGACGACCUCCCUCCUCUCUUCGCGUCGUCGCUGCUCCGCGGCUUCGGCGUUUUGGGGCGAUUUGAGGAGAUGCGCCAGUGCUUUGAUCUCCUCGACAAGGCCGGCGCCGUGAAGGACCACAAACUCUACGAUGAGAUGCUGCGAUGGUACGCCCACGCGUACAAUGUCAAAGAAGUAAUCGCCCUGAAAGAAGAAAUGACCCGCAAGGAGGUGUACCACACGACGCAAACGUACCAGAACGUCUUUCGUGUCCUGGACCGUUACUAUCCCCGGCUCGUGGAGAAGUAUCUGGCAGAGAUGCGCGGCCGAGGCAUGCAGGUGGACGGCUCCAUGUACCCGACGCUGGUGCGCGUGUUUCAUGCGCUCAGCGACCACGCCAAAGUCGAGGAGCUGUUCCGAGAGGCGAAGCGGAAGGCGGAGAAGGGGGCCACGUACAACAUGAGUCCGUCGCUCAUUGUGCAAAUGCUCCGCUGCUACCCAAAGGACAUCGUCCGCGGCGACGCGAUCGUGCGUGACGCCGAGCAGUACGGCCUCCUCGUCAACGAGACAGUGCAGGCAGAGGUGCUGAAUUACUACGCAAUGAACGACCGGCCCGACGCGAUGGAAGCCUUCAUGGCGCGGCUACCAUACAAGACGGCGAACGUGUACCGUGUGCUGCUGCGCAAUGCAACGCAGCACCGCAACCGCGGGCAGUUCAACGCUGUCUUGAAGGAGAUAGAGACGAAGCAGGUGCCGUUGAAUGAGCGGCUCUUCAGCGUCAUCGUGACUUCGCUGGCCCACUUCCAGGACAGGGAAGGGGUCCGCGAAUACGUGCAUAAGGCGCUAGGGAGCAACCAGAUCCACACGCCACUCUUUUUCGCCGACGUCGCGUCGGCGUUCGAGAGACUCGGCGACGCAGACGCGGUGGACCAGUGCUGGGCGGGCCUUCUCGAAAGCAAGAUGACUGUGACGAUGCCGGUGUACAAUCGCUUCCUUGACGUGUACAUGACGCUCAACAACAUGGCGAAAGUUCAGGAAAUUUUGGACACAAUGAUGAAGCUGGUGCCGCCGAAUCCGGUGACGGCCACGACGGUGGUGGACAUGCUGGGUAAGAUGGGGCGCCUGACCGAGAUGGAGGCGAUCCUCGAUGAAAUGUCCAAGUCUACAAACGCUGUGCCGACGCUGGUUACGUACCACCAAGCCAUGAACGCUUACGCAAAGUGCGGGGACGUGGCCAAGAUGGAGGCCGUGCGCGAAAAGCUGAAGCUGGAGGGCUUUCAAGAGAACGCCGUGACAUACAACAUUUUGUUCGAGGGCUACGGCCGGGCAAAGCGGUUCGAGCACCUGCUGGAGCUUGUGGAGGAACGCAAGGAGCGUGGGAUUCCGAUGGAGGAGUUCGGCUACGUUGUGCUGCUUAACACGUACGCCCGGGCCCGCAUGCCCGCCGAGGCCGAGGCACUGGUGGAUGAAAUGGUGAGUGGCAGCACCGUCGUCUUGAGCAGUCGCUUGCUUGCCACCGUCGCGUCCACCUUCAGUCACAUCGGCAACGCCGAGCAGAUGCAGCGGUACAUCUCGUUGCUGCUCUCGCACCCCGAUUGCCGGGUGCGAGACGUCGAGUCUGUGUACAGCAUCUACGCGCGCUUGAGAGACACCGUCAAGUUGCAGGAGCUGCUGGACGCUGCAAAUCUGCCGAAGACCCCCCUCAUCUACAAUACCUGCGUCAGCGCUUUUGCCCGCGCUGGCGAGCAUGCGAAAGUGGCGUUUCUUUUGACCGAGAUGGAGAAGCAGGGAUUCGCCUUGAGCCGCAACACGAGCAUCAUUCUGAGUAGUCUGCUGCUCAAGGCGGGCAAGCUGGAGCUGGCACAGACAGUGCUGAAGUGGAAGGGGCUGACUACAGCAGACGUGGAGUCGGGCAGGGGCGCUUCCACCAAUGGCGCAGCGGCGUUUUCGUCGCCCGCACAUGGCGACACUCCCUCGUGCCCUUCGGCGGAGGAGGCCGGCGAAGUGGAUGCCGAAGAAGCAGACCUAUUGCUGCGAGACAUGGAUGACCACAUGGUUGGCCGCACCCACGACGUCGAGAGCGACGAGCCCAUGUGCAGGUGAUGGGGACAGAGGUGUCGCUGUCGAGGCGGAUGUGGAGCGGGGAGGGGGUGGGGAUCGGCAAGCGGUAAAGGCUUACCGGUUUUUUUUUUUGAAGCGGCGCGCAUUCGUUGUUUGGACAGCGGUGUGGGUCUCCUUUGAUGUCCGUCCACGUUUUACGCAAGCAUAGCUCCCGUGCUCUCGAGCGCUAUCUGGUUAUGGUUUCUUGUGGUGAACACCCUCACAGAUGCCACUAGCUAUUCGAUCAGCGUUUCCCUUGCGGAAGCCUGCGGGUAUCAGGCGUUUUUGUGCUGUCUGUGCUGAGGCAGUCGAUGUCACACCGAGGUGACGUUCGGCGGCGCAAGUGGAUCCUUGCGCGUUGAGCUUUCGUGCACUUGCGGACACCACGGGGGCGCAAUGGCGCAGCUUGCUCGCAUCAUUGUCUUCGAUUGACAAGCUGAAGACACUGAUUUUUUUUUUGUGUUGUUGAUGGGGCCCUCCCCCA